rnacentral:rRNA from 1 species
AUUGAACGCUGGCGGCAGGCCUAACACAUGCAAGUCGAACGAGUGGCGGACGGGUGAGUAAUGUCUGGGAAACUGCCCGAUGGAGGGGGAUAACUACUGGAAACGGUAGCUAAUACCGCAUACCAUCGGAUGUGCCCAGAGGGGAUUAGCUAGUAGGUGGGGUAACGGCUCACCAAGGCGACGAUCCCUAGCUGGUCUGAGAGGAUGACCAGCCACACUGGAACUGAGACACGGUCCAGACUCCUACGGGAGGCAGAAGUGGGGAAUAUUGCACAAUGGGCGAAAGCCGGAUCCAGCCAUGCCGCGUGUAUGAAGAAGGUCUUCGGGUUGUAAAGUACUUUCAGCGAGGAGGCGUUACUCGCAGAAGAAGCACCGGCUAACUCCGUGCCAGCAGCCGCGGUAAUAC